UCACGUAACCGCGACACCUCUUCUUGUAUAGUCGCUGGUAGGGAUCUUGUGAGCUCGUAAACCGAAACAGCAGUCACGUAUCGCUUUAUUGGGACAGGUAACUGAUCGGACGACAGGGACGUUGCGGCUCUAAGUAAAGACUGGAUAAGUGCAAGACAGGAUUUAUUGGGUAAAUGCAACGCUCGGCGACAAACCCUUUGCACUCGAGAGGUGACUCUCGGUCAUCAUUAGGUUUCACGCAGCAAAUCUAUCAGCAACGAUGUUUCUUUAGGUUUCAUUUCUUUGGAAUUCGUCAAUAAAAUGAUUGUCGGUGCGGCAAAGGUGGCCUGAUUCUCAAAUCUCGAUAACUUAGCAUAGAUGCUUUCUUAGGAUUCUAUUGUCUCACCGAUACGCUUCUGCCUACUGCUUUCUUCCCUCGGACCUCUCUCUCUCUCUCUCUCUCUCUCUCUCUCUCUCUCUCUCUCUCUCUCUCUCUCUCUCUCUCUCUCUCUCUC